GAUGAACGCUGGCGGCGUGCCUAAUACAUGCAAGUCGAGCGAACAGACGAGGAGCUUGCUCCUCUUACGUUAGCGGCGGACGGGUGAGUAACACGUGGAUAACCUACCUAUAAGACUGGGAUAACUUCGGGAAACCGGAGCUAAUACCGGAUAAUAUAUUGAACCGCAUGGUUCAAUAGUGAAAGACGGUUUUGCUGUCACUUAUAGAUGGAUCCGCGCCGCAUUAGCUAGUUGGUAAGGUAACGGCUUACCAAGGCAACGAUGCGUAGCCGACCUGAGAGGGUGAUCGGCCACACUGGAACUGAGACACGGUCCAGACUCCUACGGGAGGCAGCAGUAGGGAAUCUUCCGCAAUGGGCGAAAGACUGACGGAGCAACGCCGCGUGAGUGAUGAAGGUCUUCGGAUCGUAAAACUCUGUUAUUAGGGAAGAACAAAUGUGUAAGUAACUAUGCACGUCUUGACGGUACCUAAUCAGAAAGCCACGGCUAACUACGUG
rnacentral:rRNA from 1 species